rnacentral:rRNA from 1 species
UAAGGAAUAUUGGACAAUGGAGGCAACUCUGAUCCAGCCAUGCCGCGUGAAGGAAUAAGGCCCUAUGGGUUGUAAACUUCUUUUAGACGGGACAAAACCCCUUUACGUGUAAAGGGUUGAUGGUACUGUCAGAAUAAGCAUCGGCUAACUUCGUGCCAGCAGCCGCGGUAAUACGAAGGAUGCAAGCGUUAUCCGGAAUUAUUGGGUUUAAAGGGUGCGUAGGCGGACUAAUAAGUCAGUGGUGAAAGCCUGCAGCUUAACUGCAGAAUUGCCAUUGAUACUGUUAGUCUUGAGUACAGUUGAGGUAGGCGGAAUGUGUCAUGUAGCGGUGAAAUGCUUAGAUAUGACACAGAACACCGAUUGCGAAGGCAGCUUGCUAAGCUGUAACUGACGCUGAGGCACGAAAGCGUGGG